rnacentral:misc_RNA from 1 species
CAGAGUUAUCUAACUCCCAAACCCAUGUGAACUUACCACUGUUGCCUCGGCAGAUGUUGCUGGGCGAACCUACCCUGUAAGCAAUUACCUGGGAACGGCUUACCCUGUAGCGCCUGCCGGUGGACUACUAAACUCUUGUUAUUUUUAAGUAAUCUGAGCGUCUUAUUUUAAUAAGUCA